GGUCCCAAUAUGAACCUGAGUUCCAAGCAGCGACCCAACUCCAGGCCACAAGCAUCAAUAGGAGCCCUGUACUCCGUUUGGCUGCAAAGCUAGAGAACAAGAGGAAGCCAUUUGUAAACCAAGCUGGCAUGGAGCACGGACCGUGAUUACCUGUCGUGAA